rnacentral:rRNA from 1 species
GACGAACGCUGGCGGCGUGCUUAACACAUGCAAGUCGAGCGGUAAGGCCCUUUCGGGGGUACACGAGCGGCGAACGGGUGAGUAACACGUGGGUGACCUGCCCUCAGCUCUGGGAUAAGCCUGGGAAACCGGGUCUAAUACUGGAUAUGACUCCAUGACGCAUGUUGUGGGGUGGAAAGCCUUGUGCGGCUGAGGAUGGGCCCGCGGCCUAUCAGCUUGUUGGUGGGGUGAUGGCCUACCAAGGCGACGACGGGUAGCCGGCCUGAGAGGGCGAUCGGUCACACCGGAACUGAGACACGGUCCGGACUCCUACGGGAGGCAGCAGUGGGGAAUCUUGCGCAAUGGGCGAAAGCCUGACGCAGCAACGCCGCGU